UUUGGGCCCUGCUCGGUCUCCGAGUUUGAUCCGACACCGGCUCGGCCUCCGGGCGUCCCACCCUCAGGUGUGCGGCCUGGAGCACGGAGGGCUGGAGAAAGCCUUGGGAGCGACAGAGCCGGGGGAAGGUCGGCGGCCGGGUCGGCAGGCGGGAGGGCAGAGUGAGCGGACGGCGAAGGGGAGCACGGGUGACCCCGCAGAGCAGGGCCGGUGAUGGCGCGGGCCGGGCAGGACCACGAGAAGCAGAACGUGCGCGUGACGCGGGCGGGCUGGUGAUGUCACCAGGCACCCGGGGCGAUGACGCAAGCCUGCUGGGAUGACGUCAUUUGGCCCAUGUCGCCACGUGUUUCCAGGUGACCCGCUAGCAAACUCAGCAGCAGCAAAGUGGGGCUCACAGAAAAAUGAGGGGCCACUGUUAAUAUAACUGCAAAGGGGCAGGAUGCGUAAAACGGCUGUGGUUAUUUUCGUGUUUGCUGUUUUUAUUUCGAAUGCCGCUGCGGGGCACGCUGGUCCUUUCCGCACUCGGGGUCCCCGGCGGCCUCACGCGUCCGUGCAGCGGAGGCUUCCUGAGCCCCCUGGAGAGCCGGGCCUGGGCCCGGAUGUGGAGACCCUCCCGGGCUUUUAAUCCGGGCAGGAGGCAGAUGGCAGGCUCAGCAGUCACGCCGUUGUAAGAGAACCGAAUUAGAGACGCGGAUCUCCCUAUGUUGCCCAGCCUGGUCUUGAACUCCUGGCCUGAGAUGAUGCUCCUGCCUCGGCCUCCCAACGUGCUGGGACUACAGGCGUGAACCUCCUCCCUGCCAAGCAUGGCUGGGGCUGAUCUUUCCCUCACUGGUUGUUAGAUGGGCUCACUUCCCUUCCUUGUACCUGUUUCCUCAUCUGUAAAAGGGAGCUAACUUUUUUUUUUUUUUUUUGAGGCUGAGUCUCGCUCUGUUGCCCAGGCUGGAGUGCAGUGGCACCACAACCUUUGCCUCCCGGGUUCAAGCGAUUCUCCUGCCUCAGCCUUCCAAGUAGCUGGGAUUACAGGCGUGCACCACCAUGCCUCGCUAGUUUUUUGUAUUUUUAGUAGAGACGGGGUUUCACUAUGUUGGCCAGGCUGGUCUUAAUAGGAGACUCUACUUUUUUUUUUUUUUUUUUUUGAGACGGAGUUUCACUCUUGUCGCUCAGGCUGGAGUGCAGUGGCACGAUCUCGGCUCACCACAACCUCUGCCUCCUGGAUUCAAGCGAUUCUCCUGCCUCAGCCUCUGGAGUAGCUGGGAUUACAGGCAUGUGCCGCCACACUUGGCCAAUUUUUGUAUUUUUAGUAGAGAUGUGGUUUCUCCAUGUUGGUCAGGCUGGUCUCAAACUCCCCAUCUCAGGUGAUCCACGCGCCUCAGCCUCCCAAAGUGCUGGGAUUACAGGUGUGAGCCACUGUGCCUGGCCAGGAGAUUCUACUUUUAAAGCCACUGAUGGUGUCCAGCUCAUAGUGAGCACCCAUGCCCAUCUGCCAGGGUUCCUGCCCCGGGCAGCAGGUGGGGUCCUCGCUGAGCAGAGGCAGGAGGGGACACCAGCACUUGCCUCUGCUCUCUUGGAGAGGAAGAGACCCCCCCACCCCCCAUCCCCCACCAGGGAGCCUACUCCAGGGUCUCCGGGCCUGUGUUCCUCCCACUGUCUUUGCCACAGGACAGCUCCCGUCUGUGUGUCUGUCUCUCUGGGUCUGUGCCCUUGGCCUCUGACGGUCCCCUCCCUACCUCUCGAAUCUGGCCUUGAUUUGUGGUAGGGGCCUCAGGGUUCCUGAGGGCCUUGGGGUUCCCUUGCUCCGAGUGUGGGGGUGGAUCCUGGGCUGCAGCCCGGGAUGGUGCUGACGCCCGGGUUGGGGGCAGGUUGCGUUUUUCAGAGAUGGCCGUGGCAGUAUCUCCCAUCCCUAUACCUUGAAAUGCCUUCUACAUGAGACUCUGUGACAGCCUCGGCCAGGAAGAAUGGGGUGUUUGGCAGGACGUGACUUCUGAGGCUGACUUGGAAGCCAUGCGUAUCUCGCUGUCCUGGGACAGUCGCUCUUGGAACCAGCUGCCGUGCUGGGAGGGAGCACGCCCGGGCCUCAAGGAGAGACCCCGUGGAGGAACCGGCAUCGGAUUCCAGACUCCUGAGCAGCUUCCGGCCCAGGUCCCAGCGCCCCGUUCCAAGCCGCCCGCACACAGUAGGGUGCUUGCUGAGCGUACUGUUUUGGGGUGGUUUGUGGUGCGGCACUCAAAACUGGAAUAGUGGAGGUGGGCUGGGCCCUGACCCAGGGAGAGUGACCCUUCCCUCCUCACCCCUGCUCACUCCUCACUGGUCCCUUCCUUUCUCCCACAGAGGCAGAGGCUCAGCGACUUCCCCACCCCUCCUCCCCAUCUAACGGGUGCUUCUCCGGAGCCACUGAAAUCCAGCCGACCUCCUGGCCCUGAGUGGGUCAAGCUCCAAACGGCGGGGGGCCCCGGGGCAUCUGCAUGGCCCUGUGUUAGCUAAGAGGGGUGACUGAUGAGGACAUUCACACGCCACUGGGGAGCCUGUGGGGAAAACCGGGGUGUCUUCUAGGCUGGACCUGGAGGGCCUCAUUCUUGUGGGGGGGUCUCCUCACAUUGGGCCACUGUGGCCGCACUCCAUGACCCCAGCCAGUGUCCCCAAAAGGCCUGCGAGGUGCUGGCCAUGACCUCCCCUCCCAAUCUCUGACCCAGAGGUGGCGGCUGCCAUCUCACCAUGGGCCUCAGCACCCCCCUCACACACCGACUCCUGAAAUCAGAGACCUGUAGCCACCCCUGCAGGCGGUCCUCAGUGUGGUCCCCAACUCCUGCCCAGGGCAGCGGGCUGUGCACUCAGGGAGCUCAGGCCAAAGCCACCGAGGAACCAAGGCUGGGGCUGGCGUGGGUUUCUCUCCCGGAGAGCUGAGGUGGGCGCAGAGCUGUUCCUGGGUGUUUGCUGGGAUUGUAGUGAUAGAAGGCCAGGGCUGCAGGAAUCCAGGCUGCAGGAGAGAGACCAGGACUCAGGCAGAAGCAGCAGCACCAGGCUGGUGCCACUGCCACCCCACCUGCAUGCCUUCUCAGCAGCGGUGGGAGCUGUGUCUCCAAGCAGGAUGGUGCUGGAGUCUCCCCAUCCUGCCUGUCUGGGAUGCCCUCCCAGCCCGUUCCUGCUCCCGGCAGGCACUGCUUUUCUCUCUGCUGCACCAGGACGAGGUUGGUGCCCUUGUCCCUCCUCACCGGCACUCCCACCCUUUUCCACCAAAACCACCCCCACUUUGUGACCAGACCUCACUGUGUUGAAGUCAUAGGCACCCCUUUCCUGCAGGAGGGGACACCUGCUCCCUGUCACUCUCCCGGCCAUGCCUUCAAAAUCCACACCGGCAAUUCUCCAACUUUGACUUCCUCUCCUUCAGGGGUCCUGUUCCCUCCCCACUUAACCACUGGGUCCUUUCUCCCAACUGCACCCCUCCACGGUCCAGCCUUUCCACUCUCUCUGCCCACCUCCCAGCUCCCGGCUCUGCUGUCCGCCAGCCCUGAGAUCUACAGUCUUUGUGCACGGCCUGCAUCUGCGGCUUCCUCAUCCCGUCUGUUCUCCUCUUCUUAUCAAGAGAAGCCUAUCUGGCCGGCCAUUGUGUCUGCCCCUCACCCUCCCUUCCUCCUGUUCAUGUGGGCAGACCACAGCCCGUGUGGAAUCCCGACCUUCUUGGUGGCUUAAGCACCACCUGCCUAUUCUUUCCGUAGCAGGGAUCAGGGUGGUGCCAGCGGCUUCCUGGGGCCUCACACAGCCCACAGCCCUGGGCCAAGGUCAGCUGGGUGGGAAGGGCCCAAGUGGAGCCAUGCUGGACACCCGGGGCUGCUGUCCCUCGGCUGCCGAGCUCUCUGUCAGAGCCUUGCGGCCUGGAAUCCUACCCACCCUCGGUCAGCUUCCUCAUAACAUGGCCAGCGUUCCAGGAGGGCGAAGUGGAAGCCUAGGGACUCUUGAGGCCAGGGUCCAGAACGCACAUGGUAAAAUCUCCACCACUUUCCAUUGGCCAAAGCAAGUCACAGCAGCCAGAUUCCAGAGGAGUCGAAGAACACACUGACCCCUCCUCCCCUCCACCGCCUGCCUCUGCCCUCCCCUCGCAGGGGCAGGGCUGCCUGAUGAGCCCCCUGGGUUUAUCUGCCCUGCUGGCUCUGGGAAGGCCGGGAUGAAAGUGUCAUUUAGUGGCAGGGACUUUAGGGAGCCUGGUAUGGCCAAGCCCUAGCCCCCUGCAGCAGUGCCCCCCGCAGCAGUGCCCCCAGGACAGCUGGGCCUGGGUCUCCAGUGGGUUGGAGUUUUCUGAAGGCGGCUGUGGGUCGACCUGGCACCCGGUGACUGCCCCAGGCGGAGGGCCAUGCAUGGCCCAGCGCGGGGGCCCUGCCCAUGGCCGUGUUGGGUCAGGUGUCCGGCUCCGGGCUUCUGGGCUCCCUGCUACCCAAAGAUGUGCAGCUCCUGAGUCCCUUGCCAGGUCCUUUAAGUCUAAGAGGGUCCCUCUUGUCCAGUGCGCCAGGCUCCACCUACCCCCGACCCCUCCCCAGCUGAGUGCCUCCUCCUGGCUGGAACAGCAGCCCUCCCUGGUCAUGCACCUGCCCCUCCACUGUGUCCUCCCUGACGCAGCCAGAGGCGUGCUUCUAACCUGCAGAACCCUCCCUGGGGGCCAAGCCCACCAGACGCCAGGUGGCUCUGAGUGGCCCACUGGGACUGCCAUGUGGAGUGGGACCCUCUGCUCUGUCCCAGGUCCUGCUGUCCCAGGAAGCCCUUACAGGGGGCUGUAGCUGGGAGGUGACAUGCCUGCCAAGUGGGUGGGGAGGCUCUGGCCCAGUAAGAUGGGAUCCAGCAGUGCGAGAUGGUGGCCCAGGUCAGGUGGUGGCAGCUCGGCCUUCUUGGUCCCAGGUGGAGAGACAGGGUGAGGCUCCUCCCCAUGGGAUCUGGAGGGGAGGGGCUGCCUGUGUAAUCAGCCCAGCCUCGGACGUCAACAAUCCAUGUUUCUCGGGAAAGGCGGCCAGCCCGGGCCUCGGACGUCAACAGUCCCCGUUUCUCAGGACAGGCGGCCAGCCCGGGCCUCGGACGUCGACAGUCCCGGUUUCUCGGGAAAGGCGGCCAGCCCAGAGUCUCCAGUGACACAUUUCUGGGUCAUCAUCCACUGGCCACAGGGAAUCACAGGCUCAGUGUGACUUUCUCAGAGCGCCGUGGUGCACCUGUGGGGUUUCCCAGCCCAUCCUGUCCUGUGGGACCAGGCGGAGGCCCAACCGUGUCUUCAGAGUGACCUUCGAGCUCUAACCAAAGUCCACGUGUUAUCAGGAGCCAUGAGUCAAUCAGAUGUCAUCCAGGGCGGCGGCUGAGGAGUGGUGACUGGCCAGAUGGGAAGGCAGGGAAGGGUCUGGAUUUCAAUGAGAGCGAAGGAGUGGGCAGCAGACUGGUAGACUCCUCCAGAUGGAUGAGGCCAGACCCCUGCAACAGCCGAUCUGAGCAAGGCUCUAGCCUCCCUGGGAGUCGAGGGCAACAAAUCAGCCCUGCACCUGGCCCAGGCCUCAGACCCUGACGGGGCUCAGCCACCUGAGAUCACCCUGGCUCUGCAGGAAGGCAGGAAGCUUUGGCGUGAUCCUCCACGGGUGAGGAUUACGUAGAGAUGUGUGGAAACGCCACGAAGCACAAAGACUCGUGUCUGACGGGUUGCCAGGUGCCUACAUCAGAGCUCAUUAAAUUACACAUUAAAUAGA